GUUGUUGCAGUUAAAAAGCUCGUAGUCGGAUGUCGGGCUCGGGCAGGCUGUCGGCUUCGGUCGGACGGCAGGCUCGGGUCUUUCUGCCUGAGGAACCCGUGGCACUUAACUGUGCGGCGUGGGGACGCAGGCCGUUUACUUUGAAAAAAUUAGAGUGUUCAAAGCAGGCCUACGCUUGGAUACAUUAGCAUGGAAUAAUGGAACAGGACUUUGGUGCUAUUUUGUUGGUUUAUGGGACCGAAGUAAUGAUUAACAGGGACAGUUGGGGCCGUUUAUAUUUCGUUGUCAGAGGUGAAAUUCUUGGAUUUACGAAAGAUAAACUUCUGCGAAAGCAUUCGGCAAGGAUGUUUUCAUUGAUCAAGAACGAAAGUUAGGGGAUCGAAGACGAUCAGAUACCGUCGUAGUCUUAACCAUAAACUAUGCCGACUAGGGAUCAGUGGAUGUCAAUUUGCGACUCCAUUGGCACCUUGUGAGAAAUCAAAGUUUUUGGGUUCCGGGGGGAGUAUGGUCGCAAGGCUGAAACUUAAAGGAAUUGACGGAAGGGCACCACCAGGAGUGGAGCCUGCGGCUUAAUUUGACUCAACACGGGGAAACUUACCAGGUCCAGACAUAGUAAGGAUUGACAGAUUGAAAGCUCUUUCUUGAUCCUAUGGGUGGUGGUGCAUGGCCGUUCUUAGUUGGU
rnacentral:rRNA from 1 species